rnacentral:rRNA from 1 species
CCUACGGGAGGCAGCAGUGAGGAAUAUUGGUCAAUGGCCGAGAGGCUGAACCAGCCAAGUCGCGUGAGGGAAGACGGUCCUAUGGAUUGUAAACCUCUUUUGCCGGGGAGCAAAAAGCGGUACGUGUACCGCAUCGAGAGUACCCGGAGAAAAAGCAUCGGCUAACUCCGUGCCAGCAGCCGCGGUAAUACGGAGGAUGCGAGGGUUAUCCGGAUUUAUUGGGUGAAAGGGGUGCGCAGGCGGCGAGUUAAGUCAGCGGUAAAAUUUCGGGGCUCAACCCCGACGAGCCGUUGAAACUGGCGUGCUAGAGUGGGCGAGAAGUAUGCGGAAUGCGUGGUGUAGCGGUGAAAUGCAUAGAUAUCACGCAGAACUCCGAUUGCGAAGGCAGCAUACCGGCGCCCAACUGACGCUCAGGCACGAAAGCGUGGGUAUCGAACAGGAUUAGAUACCCCAGUAGUC